GUGGGGAAUAUUGGACAAUGGGCGCAAGCCUGAUCCAGCCAUACCGCGUGGGUGAAGAAGGCCUUCGGGUUGUAAAGCCCUUUUGUUGGGAAAGAAAUCCUGUCGAUUAAUACUCGGUGGGGAUGACGGUACCCAAAGAAUAAGCACCGGCUAACUUCGUGCCAGCAGCCGCGGUAAUACGAAGGGUGCAAGCGUUACUCGGAAUUACUGGGCGUAAAGCGUGCGUAGGUGGUGGUUUAAGUCUGCUGUGAAAGCCCUGGGCUCAACCUGGGAAUUGCAGUGGAUACUGGAUCACUAGAGUGUGGUAGAGGGAUGCGGAAUUUCUGGUGUAGCAGUGAAAUGCGUAGAGAUCAGAAGGAACAUCCGUGGCGAAGGCGGCAUCCUGGGCCAACACUGACACUGAGGCACGAAAGCGUGGGGAGCAAACAGGAUUAGAUACCCUAGUAGUCC
rnacentral:rRNA from 1 species